AGCGGUGCGCCUACACAUGCAAGUCGAACGCGAUCCCCCAUGAUUUUUGAAGUGCUUGCACUGAUUUAUGAUUGGAUUUUGGAUUGAGUGGCGAACGGGUGAGUAACAUGUUGGUAUCUGCCCCCAAGUCAGGGAUAGCCAUCUGAAAAGAUGAUUAAUACCGGAUAGUCUCUUCGGAGUAAAGAUUUAUCGCUUGGGGAGGAGCCUGCAUUCUAUCAGCUUGUUGGUAAGGUAAUAGCUUACCAAGGCUAUGACGGAUAACUGGUCUGAGAGGAUGAUCAGUCACAAUGGAACUGAGACACGGUCCAUACUCCUACGGGAGGCAGCAGUGAGGAAUCUUCCACAAUGGGCGAAAGCCUGAUGGAGCGACACCGCGUGAAGGAUGAAUGCCUAACGGUUGUAAACUUCUUUUCUGAGGGAGCAUAAUGAGAGUACCUUAGGAAUAAGGGACGGCUAAAUACGUGCCAGCAGCCGCGGUAAUACGUAUGUCUCGAGCAUUACCCGGAAUCAUUGGGUGUAAAGGGUCUGUAGGCGGUUUAAUAAGUUGGAUAUGAAAGACCGGAGCUCAACUCCGUG
rnacentral:rRNA from 1 species